rnacentral:misc_RNA from 1 species
CCGAGUUCUGGGUCUGUUUACAGGCCCUCACUCCCACCCUUUGUGUAUCUUACCUUUAUUUCUUGUUGCCUUGGUGGGUCUCAGGGGGAGACCUCUGGGGGCCUCGCGGCCCCGCCCGCCAGGGGGACAGCCCUUAAACUCUUUGUUAACCGGGUCGUCUGAGAAAACAAAACAAAUGAAUUA